rnacentral:rRNA from 1 species
UACGGGGGGGGUAAGCGUUGUUCGGAAUUACUGGGCGUAAAGGGCUCGUAGGCGGCCAACUAAGUCAUACGUGAAAUCCCUCAGCUUAACUGGGGAACUGCGUGUGAUACUGGAUGGCUUGGAUUUGGGAGAGGGAUGCGGAAUUCCAGGUGUAGCGGUGAAAUGCGUAGAUAUCUGGAGGAACACCCGUGGCGAAGGCGGCUCUCUGGGACGGUACUGACGCUGAGACGCGAAAGCGUGGGGAGCGAACAGG